rnacentral:rRNA from 1 species
GAUCAUGGCUCAGGAUGAACGCUAGCUACAGGCUUAACACAUGCAAGUCGAGCGGAACACUUCGGGUGUUUAGCGGCAGACGGGUGAGUAACACGUAUCCAACCUUUCCCUUACUCGGGUAUAGCCUCGGGAAACUGAGAGUAAUCCCCGAUGUGGUGCACGGAAAGCAUUUUUUGCGCACGAAAGAUUAAUCGGUAAGGGUGGGGAUGCGUUCCAUUAGGUAGUAGGCGGGGUAACGGCCCACCUAGCCGAUGAUGGAUAGGGGUUCUGAGAGGAAGGUCCCCCACAUUGGAACUGCGACACGGUCCAAACUCCUACGGGAGGCAGCAGUGAGGAAUAUUGGUCAAUGGGCGAGAGCCUGAACCAGCCAAGUAGCGUGCAGGAUGACGGCCCUAUGGGUUGUAAACUGCUUUUGUGCGGGAAUAACGGUCGCCACGUGUGGUGAUGUGCAUGUACCGUACGAAUAAGGAUCGGCUAACUCCGUGCCAGCAGCUGC